rnacentral:rRNA from 1 species
GAUGAACGCUGGCGGCGUGCCUAAUACAUGCAAGUCGAGCGAACAGACGAGGAGCUUGCUCCUCUGACGUUAGCGGCUGACGGGUGAGUAACACGUGGAGAACCUACCUAUAAGACUGGGAUAACUUCGGGAAACCGGAGCUAAUACCGGGUAAUAUAUUGAACCUCAUAGUUCAAUAGUGAAAUACGGUUUUGCUAUCACUUAUAGAUGGAUCCGCGCCGCAUUAGCUAGUUGGUAAGGUAACGGCUUACCAAGGCAACGAUGCGUAGCCGACCUGAGAGGGAGGACGGCUAACCUGGAAGUGAGACACGGUCCAGACACCUGCGGGAGGCCGCAGUAGGGAAUCCUACGCAAUGGGCGAAAGCCGGACGGAGCAACGCCGCGUGAGUGAUGAUGGUGUUAGGAUCGUAAAACUCUGUUAUUAGGGAAGAACAAAUGUGUAAGUAACUAUGAACGUAUUGACGGUACCUAAUCAGAAAGCUACGGCUAACUACGUG